GAAAUGCAAUAAGUAGUAUAAAUUGUAGAAUUUAGUAAAUUAUUGAAUCUUUAAACGUACAUUGCGCCCUUUAGUAUUCCUUAAGGUAUGCCUGUUUAAGCGUUAUCUAAACCCUUAAGCACUGCUUAGUGUUAGGUGCCUGUCCUGCUCUCUGCGCGCGGACUUACCUUAAAUCUAUUGGCGGCACUUACGUUGGCUACGAGCGCAGCAGAAACGCAAACUUGUAGGCCCUAGCAGAGCAGCUUCUAGAAGCUACUAUUUACUAUUUUAACCUUAGAUUAGGUAGAGAUACCUGCUAAACUUAAGC
rnacentral:misc_RNA from 1 species